UACGAAGGGGGCUAGCGUUACUCGGAUUGACUGGGCGUAAAGCGUGCGCAGGCGGUUCUAUAAGACAGAUGUGAAAUCCCCCGGGCUCAACCUGGGAACUGCAUUUGUGACUGUAGAGCUGGAGUACGGUAGAGGGGGGAUGGAAUUCCUAGUGUAGAGGUGAAAUUCGUAGAUAUUAGGAAGAACACCGGUGGCGAAGGCGGCCCACUGGUCCGGUACUGACGCUGAGGUGCGAAAGCGUGGGGGAGCAAAACAGG
rnacentral:rRNA from 1 species